GCGCGCGUAGCUCAGUGGUAGAGCACUUGUUUUACACACAAGGGGUCCCUGGUCCGAAUCCAGGCGCGCGCA
rnacentral:tRNA from 1 species